rfam:Brachypodium distachyon strain Bd21 chromosome 3, whole genome shotgun sequence.
UUAGUACUCCCUCCGUCCAAUAAAAAAUGUUUUAAAUUUAUCAAAAUUUGAAUGUAUCUAGACAUGACUUAGUGUAUAGAUGCAUUCAAAUUUGAUCAAAGUUGAGACAUCUUUCGUUGGACAGAGGGAGUAGGCA